GCUGCAGCGGGGCAGAGCUGCAUGUCAGCAUGCUGAUUCAGUGGAAGCACACAGCUCUGCCAGGACGAAGCAGGCAGAAUGGAGGCUGCUGGUUCCAGGGUGAAGCUGGAGUCAGCUCCCAGAAGCAGAGCCAAGGUAAAGUUCCAUGGAUAAAAUUUAUGUGAGCAAGUGAUUCAUCACCUAAAGUUACGAAGCCCACAGGCCAUUACACUGAGUAUGCAGCACUGGCAGGGGCCAUAACUUUGGAGGCACGAAGCGCAGCAUGGGCUGAUGAAGUACUCCUUGGAGUCUGCCCAUCCAAACAUGGAAUAGAUCCAAAGCUGGAGGUGAUGACAUCUUGGUCUGAGGUCUCCCGGAGGCCCUCCCAUUUCCAUCACUCUCUACUGCAGUGACCCCUCCUGCCCUGCACACUUUGGUCUCCUGAAUGACCCAGACUCUAAAUUUACCUGCCCUAUUAUCCU